UACAGAGGUCUCAAGCGUUGUUCGGAUUCAUUGGGCGUAAAGGGUGCGUAGGCGGCGCGGUAAGUCGGGUGUGAAAUCUCGGGGCUUAACUCCGAAACUGCAUUCGAUACUGCCGUGCUUGAGGACUGGAGAGGAGACCGGAAUUUACGGUGUAGCGGUGAAAUGCGUAGAUAUCGUAAGGAAGACCAGUGGCGAAGGCGGGUCUCUGGACAGUUCCUGACGCUGAGGCACGAAGGUCAGGGGAGCAAACGGG
rnacentral:rRNA from 1 species